AUGUGAACACAAUAAUUUUAUAUUAUCUAUUAGAAGACACUCUAAUGUGAAAAUAUUGAUCUUCUAAUGCUGUUACCUGCUGUGUCUUUAGUUUCUCGUCCAUUUUAGAUUAUUUACUUGUGAAGAUUCAAGUUUAGAGGUGCUUUAUCUGUGGAAGUUGUGGAGCACACAUGCUCUAAUGUUGUCAUUGUGUCUAACAGGUGUCCAGAAUUAUCACUGGUACAGGAGCAUAUUUAUGUUAAUUUCUUAUUUUGGAUAUUCCUGAACAUUGAAGAUUUUGAAGCUAGUACAAAUUUGAACCACACACUUGUUCAUGAAACAGGCUCAGAGUACAAAUUCUUCAGGAACUCAAGCAGAGAUAGCAAAACCUAAGUUUCAGAAACAGAAUAAGAUGGUUGAAGACUUUCAUUAUCUUUCUGAAUUGUAGAGUUUAUCAACUGUAUAAAUGUUUUGCCUCAAUGGGAGGAGGUAUUAUGACUGAAUUGUACCUUCAAUAAACCUCUUGCCAGUGCUGGAGAAAAAUUUCCUUGGGCUGGGCAGCUUAGCCACACCUAAGAAAACAAUGAAUGUGAAAGCACUUUAAGAGUGAAGUUCUGUGUGGAGUCCUCAUGGUGAACAUUAUGCUCUGCACUAGGCUAUGAAAUGAUGAUGGCCAACCAUGGAUAGAAGCUAGUGGGGCUUUCUACUCUGCUUAAACUGUUCCCAUUCCAAUGUGCAAAACACUGCUCAAGAGUUUCCUUGUUGGAGACUGACAGACAGAAAAGAAGAAGAAUGCAUUGUGUUCUCAGAGAAACCCAGACAAGAAAAGAUUGGAGCUGCUGAGCUGAGAGCACUGAGAACUGAGAGCACUCAAUCUUUUAUGUCCUUUUGGAGGUACAGCAUGGGAGAAAUGGGAUCACCUGGUAGUAGGACUCCAGUUGCUCCCAAUGCGACUUCCUGCCUUGGUGAAGUCUACUGGAAGGAGUGUUGACUCUGUUAGAGACGUACAAGUAGAGAGCUCCAGCAAGCUGGAAAUAGGAGUCUGUAGUCCAGCAGAGAAGUCAGGCUUGAAGAUACAAAUUGAGGAGUCAUCAAAGUAUGGAUGACAUUGGAAGAGAAGGAGCAAGAUGACAUGACUUCAAGAGUGGGUGCAGGUGGGCUGCUUCCCAUCAUGGAGGCGGUUGGAGCUGCUGACCUUGCCAAGAGAUAGGCAGACACAAACAGAGCGGCACCAUUCAGCUCAGCUGUCCAUUGGCUGGGCUGUCAGGGUGUGAGUAAUCAUUACAUUGUUGUAAAAUAUUGCUAAAAGAUUUUUCAUUUUUACACUCUAACAAAAAUUACUUUGGGACCUAAAUUAAAGUUCCUGUAUUAAAACCAACUUGUGUCACCCAGCUUAUAUUUAAGUCCUAUAGCUUUCAACUUAUUUAGGAAACAAGGUUGUAUUUGUUUAAGGUUGACCAGGCUUCUAAACAGGAUAGUCCCAGAGACUGCUACCAAAGCACGCAAGGAAUGAAUUAGUUAUAUAAGAGCUAACAUUUAUUAAGUACUUACUCAGUUCUAGAUAUAGUUCUAAGUACUUUACAUGUAUUAGUUUAUUUAAUUCAAUGAGAAAAAUUUACAGUUAAGGAAAAUUAAGUUUACCCAAAAAGUAAUUGACUUGUCCAAGACUGCACAGUUAACAACAGCAAGAACAGAAUUUGAGCCCUAGUAAUUGACUUUCUGCGAGUAUGUUCUUAACUACCAAAGUGUUUGAUAGAGGUCAUUUUAAAAGACUGAAUGUGGGAAAAUUGUUGCCUGUUUUUCUGAUUAUAAAUUAUUGGAGCAAAUAUUAGAACUGGAAAUUAAUGAUGUUUCUAAAGCAAUAAAAUUAUUAUUUCAGAAUUUCAAGGGAAACAAAAAGAUUUCAAAGUCAGGUAGGCUCUGGCUAGGAGGGUGGAUUAAACACCACAUAGCUGAGUUGUGGUUGCCAAUGAGUUGCGUCUUUUGACGUAUACCAAGCCAACACAUUAAGCCUCAUUACCUCAGUCAUAUUGAAUUACAUUUUGUAAUUUAAUGAAACGUGAAGUUAGACGGUGCAGUACAGUCAUCAGCUUAAAGUGUUGAUGUGUUCUCUGGCAAAGAGACAACUGGAUAGACUCAAUUCUCAGUCUUCCCAUUCUGAUGGAGGCGAUCAGCUCUGUCCCAGCCUCAUUUUGGCUAAUAAGCGAAAUGCCUUUUUUUUCCAUAUCUUUUUGGCAAAUUAUGUUUAUGUUUUUAUCUUUUAUUAUUUUUUCUCUUUUCCUUUUGAUAAGAAGCCCAUGAAUAGAGAGAAUGUUGGAAAAGUUUAGCCCCAGAUUUUGUAAUAUGAGGUAGAAUCUUGCUUAGAAGGGUGCCUUCAGUGUUAAUGUAGGAAAGAGCAUUAAAUAUAGUAUUGUGCUUUUUUAAAAGAUCCUGGUACCGUAGUAACUAGAUCCUAUUAGACAAGCUGCAGGAAGAAGCUGUCCCAUGCCUAAGAUUUUGUGUGUGUGUGUGUGUGUGUGUGUGUGUAUUUGUUUAGUUUUUCACUCUUUGUCUUUAUAUAGGAAGACAAUGGUGCUAUUGUGAGGUUUCAGAGAAUGUAUAUUGAAUUACAGCUAUAAAUGCCCCUCUCAAAGUAAAAUAAAGGGAGGAUGUAUCAGGAGAGGUGGAGAUAAGAAUGGCUUAUGCCCUAGACUCUGUUUUCUCUCUGGUCAAUGAUUUCAUUAAUAAAGGAAAAUAAUCAGAACAGAUUUCCUUUAGAGCAGUGUUUCACAAAAUGUGGUCCUUGGGCCAUCAAUAUCAGCAACACUUGGGAAUUUGUCAGAAAUGCAAAUUCUCAGGUGUAUUGGAUCAAAACCUCUGGAGUUGGGUCUCAGCAAUUGGUGACUGACAAGCUCUCCGGGUAGUUCUGAUGCACACUCAAACUUGAGAACCACAGUCUCAGCCUACUUCUAAGGCUAUCCCAACUGUCAGGGACUAAUAAUCCAUAAUUAAUAUUUUGAGGAUAAAUAAGUAAUGCUGGCCCAAGUGUGCAAAACUCAGGGAUACAGUGGUUAUGAGUUGUCUCCUGAUCCAUGGAGCUGUGUCAGGUCCUCACUUUAAAUCCAACUUGGUGUCCUAACUCAGGUAUCACAUCCAGAGUUAGGAGUGAUGGGGAAUAAAAGCCAAUAUUCCCUUAGUUGUACAUACCAUACCACUUCAAAAAUAAACAUCCUUGAACAUAAUAUCCGUACCUUUUCCCAAUUACUUACUUAAAACAUAUUUUUGGAAAUAGAUUUUCUGAGAUGAAAGUCGUGAACUUUAAACUGUAAUCUAUUUUGCUAAAUUACCUUUAAAAUCAUUGAAAUAAUCUAUACCACUCAUUCCUUGGACACAACAUCACUGCUUAGUUCAAUCUUUUCCAUUUUUGCCAAUUUACUUAGGAAGCAAUGGCAUCUAAAUUUUUUUUCUUUUCAUUAUUAAUGGAGUUAAGUAAUCCAUUAAUGACUUUAUGGUUGGUGGGCUUAUUGGUAACUUCUGAGUAGCUUUUCUUUAUCCUUUCUUUAAAAAUCACUUUUUUUUUCUUAUUUAGUCUGUUACAAUACACCAAUUUAAACAUAGAUUUCUUGUUGCUUCCCAGGGACAAAGUCUAGUUAGUCAUGACAUAUAUAAAGAUAAACACACAUGGCCAUAUGUUCCAUGCGCACCCUGGAUUCAACUGAAUAAUAUUUUAUAUUUUAUUUUUCAUCAACCUUCCUAAGAAUAUUGAGACUAGAUUUUUUCUAAUACUUCUAUCACCUGAUUUUAAUAUCUAGGUUAUACUACCCUUACAAAAUAAGCUGGGUGUUUUCUCUCUUUAAUUGUCUUAAGAUUUUAUAAUAUAUGCAUUAUCUGUUUCUUAAAAUUUUGGUAAAAGUUGCCUGAAGAUCUGUCUGGGCAGGUGGGUGUCUUGUGAGAAAAAUAUUUUUGCUAUAAUUUCAAGCUCCUUAGUAGUUAUUACCU
rnacentral:lncRNA from 1 species